rnacentral:rRNA from 1 species
UACGGAGGGUGCAAGCGUUAUCCGGAUUUACUGGGUUUAAAGGGUGCGUCGGUGGAUUUGUAAGUCAGUGGUGAAAUCUCCGGGCUUAACCCGGAAACUGCCAUUGAUACUAUAAGUCUUGAAUUAUCUGGAGGUAAGCGGAAUAUGUCAUGUAGCGGUGAAAUGCUUAGAUAUGACAUAGAACACCAAUUGCGAAGGCAGCUUACUACGGAUAUAUUGACACUGAGGCACGAAAGCGUGGGGAUCAAACAGG